GCAAGGUUUUGUUUACAUCUGUCUUAACUUCGUUAACUCACAACAAAAAUUGUUGAAAUUUGAUUAAAAAUUUAGUUAAAAGAGCAAAUGAAGUAGACAGCCUAGUGCUAUUAGAGCAUGGAAUGGGUUGCCUGAGCUAGCCAGAAAAACCAGUUACCAGUGACUUGGCAGAAUUUAGGUCAUUGGUAAAUAUGCAUGACACAUAGGAUGUAAUUGUCUUCUUUUUUGAAGUAACGUCUGUAUUAUAUAAAAGACAAGAUAAGAUCAAAUUAAGCCUGGAUUUUCUAGAUUCUAGCUCUAAUGUACUGUAGUAAAUCCAAGACAAGCACUUAACGAAAGGAGAUGUUCCUUCAGAGUUGAAGAUAAUCUACUUCCUUGUCCAAAUCUCCCGCAGGAUGACGGGUGAUGGGAAGACGGGAAGGUUAUAAACCCGAGACCAUUGACAACAGUUCAGCGUGCAAACCACAGGACUAGGCAGCCAUCAUGCAUGUUAAUCAGCAACUUAAUCAGUGUGUCACGUAUCAAUUUAAAUAAACCAAAGUCUAGUUUAAAUAUCUCAACAAAAGUUCUACAACAUUAGCACAUCUCAGCACAAGAGCACCUGUAACCUAUUCUAGCACUUCCAACAACAAGAAUGCUGUGAUACAGUGCAUAUGUCAUAUAAUCCAUUAUUAAAACUAGAUCCACGAUAUAGGCAGUUUGAUAUCAGAAAUUGCAUUUUUCUUUCUCUUAGAGUGUCUGUGUUUCUUGGUCUAAUACUGAUAUUUUGUAUUUGAUAAUAAGAUUGGAAUGCUUUGUCUUCUUUUUAUCUCUUAUCCAUCAAGUACCUCAUGUCUUCUCUGCUUGUGGUUCUAUCUUGGUCUUAGGCCACCAAACAGGCAUCUUGGCUCAGGACAAGUUUCUCCAGCUGUCUCCAUGUCUUGCCCAUCUGCUUAACAUCUACUUCCAAAUCUCAAUGCCAUGUAGUUCUAGACAUCCCAUCAGGAAUUUCAGGUGAGGGCUUGCCUUGUCAUGUUGGAUGCAGGUUUGCAAAGUGUGGAGCAUAUCCAUCGUCAGCAUCUGAAGGAAAUCUCUUUCAGUGGGCUGCUGGUUUAUUCUUUGCCACAGUUCCUCAUUAGUGGCCUUGUCUGGCAUCUGGUUUUUUUUUUGGUGGUGAUGGUGGUUCUCCAGUUCUCUGCUCCAUA